GGGCAGUGCCCUCGCCCAGACCAUCUUGCCCGUGUGUGUAACUGCACUUUUGGGAAGGUGUGUGAGUCGGACCAGGAUUGUGCAGGAUCACAAAGAUGCUGUGAUGCUGGGUGUCAGAAACGUUGUGUCCUGUCGUUCUACAGAAAGUCUCAUGGAGACUCGUGGAAAUCUGAGGAAUGUCCGAAUCCGUCCUGCCUGGAUCGUGUCUGCAGGAUGAAUCACAGCGUCUCGUGUGGAGAUGAUGGGGAUUGUGGCAAGUGGAGGUCAUGUUGUGAGACACCUUGUGGUAGACGCUGUGUCCACCCCUUCAUGGGGCAGAGCAGGAGUUUGUCAGUCUCAGAUCGGACAUCUGGAAUGUGUCCUUCUCCUGCUCGCCUCUCUGCCGUGUGUAACCUGAAGUACGGUGAGCUGUGUGAGGAAGAUAAUGACUGCUACGCAUGGCAGAUGUGCUGCAACACCAGCUGUGGGCGUCGCUGUGUCCAUUCCUACCGCAG